AGAAUGCGUUGAAGAAAUAAAGGUUCACUGCUCGUUCCCCGUAGGUGAUAGCGUGAUAAUUUGUAGCCUAUAUGUUGACCCGACUUUUUAAUAAUAUUCGUGCCAAAUAUGAAGUAAAUCCAUGCAGUACUUUUUGAGUUUAUCCCGGACAUACAUACAGACAAACAGACAAAAAUUCUAAAAACUAUAUUUUUGGCUUCGGUAUCGAUAGUAGAUCACAGUUUUCUUUAAAAAA
rnacentral:misc_RNA from 1 species